rnacentral:pre_miRNA from 1 species
AGUGGAAUAGCUGGAUCAAAUGGUGGUUCCAUUUCCAUCUUUCCAAGGAAUCUCCAUACUGCUUUCCAAAUUGGCUGCACCAAUUUGCAGUCCCACCAGCAAU